rnacentral:rRNA from 1 species
GCGUUAGUCUGAAUCACUGGGCUUAAAGGGUGCGUAGGCGGGCGUGUAAGUGUCUCGUGAAAGCCCCGGGCUCAACCCGGGAACCGCGGGGCAUACUGCACGUCUCGAGGAAACUAGAGGCCGGUAGAACGAUCGGUGGAGCGGUGGAAUGCGUAGAGAUCGAUCGGAACGCCAAGGGUGAAGACAGCCGGCUGGGGUUUUCCUGACGCUGAGGCACGAAAGCGUGGGGAUCAAACAGG